rnacentral:rRNA from 1 species
CGCCAGACUCCUACGGGAGGCAGCAGUGGGGGAUAUUGCACAAUGGGGGAAACCCUGAUGCAGCGACGCCGCGUGGGCGAAGAAGUAUUUCGGUAUGUAAAGCCCUAUCAGCAGGGAAGAAGAAAUGACGGUACCUGAGUAAGAAGCACCGGCUAAAUACGUGCCAGCAGCCGCGGUAAUACGUAUGGUGCAAGCGUUAUCCGGAUUUACUGGGUGUAAAGGGAGCGUAGACGGCGGCGCAAGUCCGGAGUGAAAGCCCGCGGCCCAACCGUGGGACUGCUCUGGAAACUGUGCGGCUUGAGUGCGGGAGGGGCAGGCGGAAUUCCUAGUGUAGCGGUGAAAUGCGUAGAUAUUAGGAGGAACACCGGCGGCGAAGGCGGCCUGCUGGACCGUAACUGACGUUGAGGCUCGAAAGCGUGGGGAGCAAACAGGAUUAGAUACCCCUGUA